rnacentral:rRNA from 1 species
UACGUAGGGUGCAAGCGUUAAUCGGAAUUACUGGGCGUAAAGCGUGCGCAGGCGGCUUUGCAAGACAGAUGUGAAAUCCCCGGGCCCAACCUGGGAACUGCAUUUGUGACUGCAAGGCUGGAGUACGGUAGAGGGGGAUGGAAUUCCGCGUGUAGCAGUGAAAUGCGUAGAUAUCAGGAGGAACACCGAUGGCGAAGGCAGGUCUCUGGGCUGAUACUGACGCUCAUGCACGAAAGCGUGGGGAGCAAACAGG